GGUAAAACAAAUUAAGAACCGCUUCUCCUCUCUACCGUCUUCCUAUCUAAGCAACCUCUCAGCUCUCUCUCUCUCUCUCCCCCCUGUGUUCUUUCUCUCUUUCUUCAGGCGCCGCACAAUCUUCAAUUUCUUCUCUCUUCAUUUUCCCUGUCUUUCUUAGAUCCAAUGGUCUAAGCUCAGUCAAGGUUACCAUAUACCACUCAUUUUGACUUACCCACAUCACAAAACUUGGAAUUUUCUAUGAAAUCGACUUCAAACUGAGUGGGGCCUUCCUUCAAAUUCUUUAUAUUGCUGGCUG
rnacentral:misc_RNA from 1 species